AUGCCAAUCCCGUGGGUUUUCCUUUUGUCUUUGCCUUGGGUUUAUGGAGACUCCUGGAUAUCUCAGGAUCAGCUGUCUUCUACCCGAAACCCAAACAAGACAGUGCACAUAAGCUGCAAGCUCUCUGGAGUCCCCCUGCAGAACACCAUUGUGCACUGGUACCAAAUGAAAGAAGGGGAGUCCCUGAAACGAAUCUUCUAUGGCUCAGCCAAGAAUUACAAGCAAGACAAGCCCAACUCCCGUUUGGAAGCUUAUGAGAAUGAUGGUACCUUUUACCUGAUAAUCAACAAUGUUAUCACAGCAGAUGAAGCCACAUACUACUGUGCCUGCUGGGAUCUCACGGUAUUUGCAGAAGGAACGAAGCUCAUAGUAAUCCCUUCUGACAAAAGCCUUAGUGGGGACCUUUCCCCCAAGCCCACCAUUUUUCUUCCUUCUGUUGCUGAAACAAAUCUCCAUAAGGCUGGGACAUAUCUUUGUCUCCUUGAGAAAUUCUUCCCAGACAUUAUAAGGGUAUACUGGAAAGAAAAGAAUGGUGAUAAGAUCCUGGAAUCCCAGGAAGGGAAUACACUGAAGACUAAUUACACAUACAUGAAAUUUAGCUGGCUUACCGUGGCGGAAAAGUCAAUGCACAAAGAGCACAGAUGUAUUGUCAAACAUGAGAACAACAAACAAGGAGUUGACCAAGAGAUUUCGUUUCCUCCAAUAAAGAAAGUUGCCAUGAGUACUGGACUUACAACUUGCAAGCAUGAUAAUGAUGUGUGGCAGCUUCAGUUCACGAGCACCUCAGCCUACUACACCUACCUUCUCCUACUCCUCAAGAGUGUGAUCCACUUAGCCAUGGUCAGCUUCUUUCUGUUUAGAAGAGCAGCUGUCUGUGGCAAUAAGAAGAGGUCCUAA